rnacentral:rRNA from 1 species
GUGGAAAGUUCACACUGUGACGGUAUCUUACCAGAAAGGGACGGCUAACUACGUGCCAGCAGCCGCGGUAAUACGUAGGUCCCGAGCGUUGUCCGGAUUUAUUGGGCGUAAAGCGAGCGCAGGCGGUUAGAUAAGUCUGAAGUUAAAGGCUGUGGCUUAACCAUAGUACGCUUUGGAAACUGUUUAACUUGAGUGCAAGAGGGGAGAGUGGAAUUCCAUGUGUAGCGGUGAAAUGCGUAGAUAUAUGGAGGAACACCGGUGGCGAAAGCGGCUCUCUGGCUUGUAACUGACGCUGAGGCUCGAAAGCGUGGGGAGCAAACAGGAUUAGAUACCCUGGUAGUCCACGCCGUAAACGAUGAGUGCUAGGUGUUAGACCCUUUCCGGGGUUUAGUGCCGCAGCUAACGCAUUAAGCACUCCGCCUGGGGAGUACGACCGCAAGGUUGAAACUCAAAGGAAUUGACGGGGGCCCGCACAAG